UACGGGGGGGGCAAGCGUUGUUCGGAAUUACUGGGCGUAAAGGGUUCGUAGGUGGCCAACUAAGUCAGACGUGAAAUCCCUCAGCUUAACUGGGGAACUGCGUCUGAUACUGAUUGGCUUGAGUGCAGGAGAGGAACGCGGAAUUCCAGGUGUAGCGGUGAAAUGCGCAGAUAUCAGGAAGAACACCCGUGGCGAAGGCGGCUCUCUGGGACGUGACUGACGCUGAGACGCGAAAGCGUGGGGAGCAAACAGG
rnacentral:rRNA from 1 species